ensembl:lncRNA
AUAACCUUUGUGCGGUUUAAAAAGUACUGAACAUGCCAAGAAGCAACAACGGAUUGUCUUCAGGAAACAGUAUAAAUGAGUGGUGAAGGCACUCCUGACAUCGUGGCGUGGUGUAAGGAGGAGAGCAAAGCAAAAUUUGGGGAAUCCUUUCCACUAUUAGAGGGAAUUUCUCCAAGCUGUAUCUUUUUACCAGGUGCUGAUGGCUGCAGCAGAGAGCCCGGAGCUGAGCAGAAAAUGCGAACGGGUCAUUGCAUCAACAGCUGGAAAAAGGCAGUGGCUGUGAACAUGAUGGAUCUUGCAGGUGAGAACGUUCCGAGAGCAGCUGAGGCCCUGCAGUCACCAUCCGCUCGCCGCUGGCUCGGUCUGCUCACUGCUUUGCAGCCAGGACACCGGCAGUGCUUCUUCUCCACUUUUCCUAUUCCUGGAGCCUCCUUGUCAGCCGUGUGCGCCCUCACGCUGGCUGCCCACAGUGCUGGCACUUGCAGGCUGUUAUUGCAAAAGCUCAGCUCUGCAGAGCCAGGCUGGCAGUCCCAAGAAGACGUCUGGUCCUGAGCGGGGUCACCCAUCCCUGCAUGGCUCUGCGGGGUCCGGCGGCAUCAUCCCAUCAUCCGCUUCAUAACCGUUGCUAAUUGGAAAAUGAAACCAUAAGAAGAAAAUCUGCUUCAAGUUAUUGCAUGGGCUUUUGUCCCCCACCGAGGAGGCACAAAUCAAGGAAUCAGAAUGUUUAACAAAACAAACAGAGAUUUCUUUGGUAUUGUGGGAGAUUUAUAGGCUGCGGCAUCCAGAGAAGCCUCCUCCCGCUCCGUCCUUCUGCUUGAAUUCCUGCUGGUCACUGACUUAUUACUUUUCUUACUGCUUCCCCUGCUUUAAAAGUGGGGAAAGCACAAUCAAAUUAUCAUAAUACUCAUUUGGUUAAUUGCCCAUUUAGUUACUUAUUGAGUUCAUUAAAAAGACAGUGUCAGUUAGGAGGAAAUGCAGAGAGGUGGGCAGUGAGGGGACAGGAUGUGGGCUGAAAUAGGCCAUUACUCCGGCCCCGAGAAUGGCAGUUUGUGUCCCUUCUUUAUUGCUGCAUCACUUCUGUGCAUGAUUUGUUCUGGAUAAAAAAAAAAAAAAACCCAAACCAACCCAACAAGCACAAAGCAAAAGGAGAAAGCCUGCUGCCGCAGAUCUCCAUUGCGCGUUAGAAUCCAUUUAGCAUCAAUCCAAAGCUCUGCAGAAGCCCAAACCACCUAUUUUAGGAUCCUUUUUUCAGCUGAGAAAAAUGUGCUGCUCCACAGGUCAGGAGCUGCCUGCAAUUAUGACCCCGAAUAGAUAGAAACGUUGCUUCUUGAGACAAAUUCCAUCUGACAGUUUUUACAGUACGUUCGUUCAGAGCAAAAUGCCCUGUCCCCUGUCACCCGGAUUGAAAUUAUUAAGGAAGACAGACAUUUCACUGACAACUCUAGCCUGCGGGGGGAAAAUAUUCCUUCUGUUCCCCUCUGAAGGUCAGAGCUCACAUAAUGCAGAACACUUAGAGCACGCGCACACACGCUCACACACACACGGAAUAGAAGUUUCUCUGCAGCGGGGCUGUGGAUGGAUGCUGGGGCAAGCAGGUGCCUGCUGCACGCGUGUUGGAGGACUGGGGACAAAGAGGCUGAGGUUGUGUGUCUGCAGCUGGAAGUUUUCCUUGUCUGGUCCAUGGGUAACGCAUGGAGAGUGCGCUCACUCUGUAGGUGCGCCCUUCUGGCAGGCUGAAGGGUCCACGUGUGCCAUGGGUGCUGCCUUCCAUCCCUGCUCAGGUGCCUUUCUGUGCUGGGGGAGAGGCCCAGCCCGGCCCCUUUGUGCCCCCCAGCCCCACUCCUCCUGGCUGCACAUUGGCUGUCACUCACCGUGCCCCGGUGUGGGUCCUCGGGCUCACUCAAUCUAGGGCUGAAAAUUGGUCUUGAGUCAAGGUGGCCGGAGGUGAGAAAUCAGCCUGCAGCUCAUUAACCUUUCCUCAGCUCUGCCGGCACUUCGGUCCCUGCUGGCUGUGUGUGUGGUAUGGGGACAUCUGCACCAGGUGCUGUCCCUCCCUGCCUUCCCAGCCCGUACUGCAAACAAAUCCCAAAUCAGCGUCCAACCAGCAUCAGCACCAAAGCUGGAUGCAGAGCUCAGGAGCCUUUUACUCCACACUUACUCAUGGAUAAAGGGUGGAAAACCAAUUCCUGAUCCACGCCGCUCCAGCUGUGCCAUCCUCC